rnacentral:lncRNA from 1 species
GUAGUGUGGAAAGGAUUUUAGAGAAAAAAUAAGGAUUUUAGGAAGAUAGACCGUCAGUUUAGAGAAGAGGAUUUGAAGCUAGGGUAAGCUUGAUCCAUCCCAAUGAAGAAGAAAAAGAAAAGAGAUUUAGUUCUUAAAAGGGCGAUUUGAAUGGAGAAACCCAGUGGGAAGAGAGAUUUUAAGAGAAUUUUUGCGGUUGAGAGAGAAGAGAGAGAGAAGAGAGAGGGGAUUUUUGUUCGAUGGG